rnacentral:rRNA from 1 species
UACGGGGGGGGUAAGCGUUGUUCGGAAUUACUGGGCGUAAAGGGCGCGUAGGCGGCCAGCACAAGUCAGUUGUGAAAUCUCCGGGCUUAACUCGGAAAGGUCAACUGAUACUGUGCGGCUAGAGUGCAGAAGGGGCAACUGGAAUUCUCGGUGUAGCGGUGAAAUGCGUAGAUAUCGAGAGGAACACCUGCGGCGAAGGCGGGUUGCUGGGCUGACACUGACGCUGAUGCGCGAAAGCCAGGGGAGCGAACGGG